rnacentral:rRNA from 1 species
AGCGCGGAGGUAGCAAUACCUUUGGCGGCGACCGGCGCACUGGUGAGUAACACGUAUGCGACCUGCCCCGGACAGGGGGAUAAACCCGGGAAACUGGGCCUAAUACCCCAUAUGCCUGGAGGAUGCAUGUCCUCUAGGUGAAAGAUCCGUCGGUCCGGGAUGGGCAUGCGGCGCAUUAGCUUGUUGGCGGGGCAACGGCCCACCAAGGCGACGAUGCGUAGGGGUUCUGAGAGGAAGGUCCCCCACACUGGUACUGAGACACGGACCAGACUCCUACGGGAGGCAGCAGUGAGGAAUAUUGGUCAAUGGACGAUAGUCUGAACCAGCCAAGUCGCGUGCGGGAUGAAGGCCCUCCGGGUCGUAAACCGCUUUAGCCGGGGAGUAACGUGGGGGACGUGUCCCUCAGUGAGAGUACCCGGAGAAUAAGCAUCGGCUAACUCCGUGCCAGCAGCCGCGGUAAUACGGAGGAUGCGAGCGUUAUCCGGAUUUAUUGGGUUUAAAGGGUGCGCAGGCGGCAUGUCAAGUCAGCGGUCAAAAUGCGGCGCUCAACGCCGUACCGCCGUUGAAACUGGCGCGCUUGAGUUCGUGGGAGGAUCGCGGAAUGCGCGGUGUAGCGGUGAAAUGCAUAGAUAUCGCGCAGAACCCCGAUUGCGAAGGCAGCGGUCCAUCACGCGACUGACGCUCAUGCACGAAAGCGUGGGUAUCGAACAGGAUUAGAUACCCUGGUAGUCCACGCGGUAAACGAUGAUAACUAGUUAUUCGGGGCGAUUGA